rnacentral:lncRNA from 1 species
CUGAUAAAUAUCUUUUGUUCAGUAGGGAGGUAAAAGUAAUAUUCUCUCAUUUCUUAGGGAUACCCUACAAAAUUAUACUUAUCGGAUCUAGGUCCGAGUUUGUCGAUUUGCAAUCAUUUGACAUAAGUCGGACACCUCCAGACCUUAAAGUAAGUGAAGUUCAACCUACAUCCUGAUCAUAUCUCAUAUGGUAUUUUACUAACUGACUUGCUCGAAACAUUAUUGAGCACAAAACAGACUGCCUCAGGUGCAUAUCUUCA